AGAGGGAGAAGAUAAAGAUAAUGCCACUAGAUAUCUAUUCUCUUCAUCCCCUUCUUCUUCUACUAGGGUUUUAGGGGAUAUUCUCCUCCUCCUCCUCCUCCUUCUUCCCAUCUCUUAAAAAAUGGUACCUUUCUCACUCUGCCCUUCUCACCCUUCUUCUUCUUCUUCUUCUUCUUCUUCUCUCAAACUCCAUCUCUCCCAAUUCACAGUCACCACUCUCUCAGACCUCUCUGGCCGUAAACGACGAGCCAGUUCCUGCCGUUUCGUCGUCCUCUCCACCCAUUCCAACCCCAAACUCCUCAAGUCUAACCGGAGGUCCCGCUACGGCCAGCCUCUCUCCCCCUACGACGACCGAGAUGAGGCCUAUCAUUUUGCUGACGUGUCCGACGAUGACUGGCUCCUCAAUGAUGACUUUGCGGAGGUUUCAGAAUUUGAUGUUAAUAGGAGGAAGUCCAAACCACAAAAUGGUGUUGCCAAUGGCCAUUUAAACGACAAAAAUGCGAAGGGUGUUGCAGAGAAGAGUUAUGUAGGAAGCUAUGAUCAUCAUUCAAGGAAAGCAAGGGAAACUGCCUUGAAUGUAGCUCGCAGGGGAAAGCGCGUUGCAAAGAAGAAUAUGGAGGAUAGAUUCCCUCGGCUAUCAGAGGAAAUUGAUAUGGAUGAGAAGUGGCUGCCCCUUAUUGAUUACCUAAGCACAUUUGGGUUUAAGGAAUCACACUUUAUUCAAAUGUAUGAGAGGCACAUGCCUUCUCUGCAAAUAAAUGUGUGCUCCGCUCAAGAAAGGUUGGAAUAUUUGUUAAGUGUGGGUGUAAAGCAGAGAGAUAUUAGAAAAAUGGUAUUAAGGCAGCCACAAAUUCUAGAAUAUACAGUUGAGAAUAAUUUGAAGUUCCAUGUUGCUUUCCUGCUGAAUUUGGGUAUUCCAAGUUCCAGAAUCGGGCGGAUUAUCGCUGCUACGCCAUCUCUCUUUUCUUAUAGUGUUGAGAAUUCAUUGAAACCGACUGUAAGGUACUUGGUUGAAGAGGUAGGGAUUAAGGAAAAAGAUCUAGGCAAAGUGGUACAGUUAAGCCCUCAAAUUCUGGUCCAGCGAAUUGAUAUAUCAUGGAACUCUCGUUGUAGCUUUCUUUCAGAUGAGAUCGGAGCACCCAGAGAAAGUAUUGUGAAGAUGGUUAAGAAACAUCCUCAGUUCCUUCAUUAUAGCAUUGAUGAUGGACUACUCCCUAGGAUUAAUUUCCUUAGGAGCAUUGGGAUGUGUAAUUCUGACAUCUUGAAAGUUUUAACUAGUCUCACACAGGUAUUAUCUCUGUCACUUGAGGAUAAUUUAAAACCCAAGUACAUGUACUUGGUCAAUGAACUAAAUAAUGAAGUGCAUUCUUUGACCAAGUAUCCUAUGUACCUAAGCUUGUCUUUAGAGCAGAGAAUUCGCCCUCGACAUAGAUUCUUGGUCUCUUUGAAGAAAGCUCCUAAGGGGCCAUUUCCCCUGAGUUCAUUUGUUCCAACAGAUGAAUCCUUCUGUCAGCAGUGGGCUGGAACAAGUGUAGAUAAAUAUCUGGCUUUCAGGCAGAGAUUACUGCUCAGGGAGUUUGCUGAAAAAUAUGAAAGGAAGGCAUAACUCCUCUGAAGUCACUCGUAAAUUACUGGUUGCAAGUGUUCAAAGCAGAAAAGUUUUCUUUAGCAAUUCCACCGACUUUGUUGUAGGAAAACAUUAAUAGGGUUUCCAUUAAGUUCAAAGUCUCCAGUUAUCGCGUGACUUGCAGAAUACGAGUUGCCUGGUGAUUAACAGUUUUGAUGGUGCGCUUGUUUGUGGUAUAGUGUAAAAGUGGUUUCAUCAUGCAACUCCAGUGCCAUUAUUUAAACAGGAGCUGCCCCAGUUUUGAAUAUACGGUUACAUUUUCGGAUUGAGGCAUCUGGUGGACAUUGUUUUUGAAGUUCUAACUGCUUCUGACUGUAAGGACAAAAGACGUUUACUACAUUCUAGUUUCUAACUACUAUCAGGUUGUGUUGUAUUUCCUAUUAUCAUGCGGAUAAAAGGAGAAGCUUUACUAGCUGCCGUUGUCUUAAAUUCAAGGGCACAUUCAUCUAUGAAGCACUUGGAUUUCUCGUAUGAUUUUCGGUAAGAUGAACUUUUGUUACUUAUUCAGGAUGAAAGAUACUCAAGAGAGCAAGACACUACCUUGUAAAAUUAAAUUUCUCUUUAUGUCCCUAUACUACUUCCCAAGUUUUUGUUCAUGUUAUUACGUCUUUAUUGUAGUUUUUAUUACCUGGCUACUACAGUUUCUCUGUGACUGUAAAGUGUGGCUUGCUAUCCCUAAAUUGA